AUUUGUAUAAAUGCAAGGGCAUGUGGAGUGAUUUUUUACUUAAUGCUAAGAAAGGUUAUUCCUGGAUGGCAGGACACUACUUUUUUCUUUGCAUAUACCUAUAUUGUUUGCUUCCUUUAUUCUAAUCUUAUAAAACUAAAAGGUGAUUUUAUGUUAAUUUGAAAAAUUUUAAAUACAAAGAUAUCAGAGAAGAAAUAUCCAUGAACCCAACAACCAAAAUUAUCAAAUAUCAACACUGUCAUAUUUUUGGAUCUUUUUAAAAUAACAAAAGAUUCCACAAGAAAUUAAAGAUCACCACGGACUACCCUCUAGUGCCAUUCCUCACCCAUCUACUCCCUCUAUAAAACUGCAUUUCUUUCCUGUCCAUAUAGAAUAAUUUUUAUAAUUGCAAUUAAAAAUGUUAGGCUAGACUAGAAAUGUAUCUUAUGAGUUUUUCAGCUUUAUGCUAAUUUUUUUCUGAUGAAUAAUUUUAAACAUAUUCCAAAACAGAGAAAAUAAUGUAUGAUAACCCAUCUAUAUACCCAUUACCUAGAUUCAGCACUCAUCAAGGUUUUGCCACAUGGAAGUUUUGAAAUCAAAAGCAGAAAACUGUAACCUACUGUUCAUCCUACAAUUUGUUCAGUCAAUAAACAACCACCUACUAAGGAAGACAGGGAGAAGUGAGAUUAGCUAUGUUCUCACUAUGUGCUGCGCACUGGGUCUUGUCUACACUGACCCACUGAGGAGUCACAACAACUCUGCCACUCAAAUAGUAUCAUUAGCAUUCUUCAGAGUGGAAAAUGAGGCUUGGAAAGAUGAAAGUUCUUCCACAGGCCCAGCUGCUUGCUCUUCUCUCUAGGCCGUAAAUCCCUCCUCCCCCACCAAUUUCAGUAUGUGUGAAAGAGUCACUAGAGGUUAUUCUGUUGAAAAAUACAAAAUGAGAAGGUCUCACUUUGUAGUUGUGUGAAUUGAUCCCUCAAUUCUCUGAGCUGGAGGAGGGUCCAGCGUUGUUAUGGGAGUUUUAAGUCAGCAACUUUUGUUAUUAUUUAAUUUAUAAGAUAACCUGUUGUAACUUUCACUUUAAGAUAUUUUCCUCUAACUAUUAAGAUAAAAGAGAGGAAUGUUUUCUCUUUUCCUUUAAAAAAAAAUCUCAUUAAUGAUUCAAUACACUUUUGUAAAUUCUUACUUAUUCUCUAUAGCUAAUAAUCCCAGCUGACCAACACCCAUAAUUACAGAAAUCAAUUUCAGUUGCAGUUUGCGGGCUUGCAAAUAUAUCACAGACAUUUUCCAAAGCAGUUUUGAAACUUCUUGCCUGUCAUGUCACUUACGUGUUGUUAUGCUCAUAUGCUGCAGCAAAUGCUUCAUAACCAUUCUUGAUCUUUCCUGGGGACUCUUCAGAAAGCAGACAUGAAUGCUCCAGUGUAUCAACCCUAUUAGUCAGUCUUGUGAUAAGAAGCAUGGGGUUUGGGUUUCCCCUGACACAUAUUUAUUUAAUAGCAUAGACUGUCAUCAUUUAGAAGCCCAGGAUGUACAAUGAUUCAGCUAUUUUGAGAAACUGAUGAGAUUAAAGAAACUCAAUUAUCAAAUGUCUCCCAGCUUAUAUGUAUAAAAUUUUAGUAGAACAGAUAACAUCUUAUUCUAGAUUUCACUUAAUAUUUGUAUCCCAAACUCUUCAAAAGACAAACCCAGUGUCCCAGAGAAGGAAAGAACCUUAAAGAUCAUGUGGGAUCAGACAGACCUCUUCAUUUGGCAAAUGUGGAAAGAGAUCCAGUAUUUAUUUUGCUAAUAUUUUGUUUCAGGUAGUUCUUGUUUGGUUUUCAGUUGCCACAAAGAACAGUGCCAAGUUCCUGUAUUGUCACACCAGGGAGUUGUUUGUGCAACAGUCCCUGGUAUUAAAAAUAACGGAAAAGAAAAUAGCCACUAAACUUGAGCAUGAUCAGAGAGACAGCAGUAAAUUUUUUAAGGCUGCCAUAAAACUCAACUGCAACGUGCAAGCUUGCAAACUGAAAAUACUUAACCACAAGAAUUGGAGUAAAAAGUCAGGAAGGAAGGUUGUCACAUUCUAGAAGUUCAGUAAAUCAAAUUAGUUUAUGUUCAAAAGUGGGUUUCUAAUUCUGCUUUCCCACUUAUUUACAUAUACAACUUUUCCACUUUUUGCAAAAUGUCUCCUGACUAAAAAUGUUUUCGUGUGUGUGCCAUAGCCAUAUUACUGUAUUUGAUUCUGUGCCUUUAAUCUUUUCUUAAAAUACAGACCCUCAAAAUACAUAUCUCUGUAACCGACCUUGGUGAGGAGGUAGUUUAGUGGUUUUCAAAUGUCUUUCCCUUUCUUUCCUUCCCUUCCCCUUGCCCAGGGGGAUUCCCCAAAUAGAGUAAACAGGUCAGCGUGACCUUGGAUGUGGCCGCUUUCUGGGUCCCAAACUCAACGGGAACACCCUGCCCUGCUCAGACUUUUUGCCCAGGGAAGCUUCUCGUCUCUGCCCGACUUCCCCAAGGCCAACCGAAGGCUGUCAGGGCCCCCGAAGCAGCUUUUCUCCCUCUAAAAUCCGACCUUUGGGGGGUCUCCAAGGUGCUGCCCGGGGCAAGAGUGGGUCCAAUAGCAGAUGUAGGAAGAAGAUUCACCUCUGUGGGCGGAGGACCCGAGCGCCUAGGACCGGUGCGCCGACCCCAGCGGGCCAGCCUCCAGCGGCACCCGCGCGGACCCCCGGACUCGCCGCUGGCCGGAGCAGGGCCAGAGCGGGAGGAAGGUGGCAGCGCCGUGCAAGCAGGGGCACAGGCAGCGAAGCGCGCUGCUAGGGGGUCUGCAGGUCGUGAUCCCCUUCCAGGAGCGGGGCCAGGACAGAGAACCGCACCCGGCAAGAGGCCCCAGUGCCGCAAGAGCUCCAGCCUCGCGCCCGCAGAAGUUUCCCAGCC
ensembl:lncRNA